GCUGUAGGCUAACCCAAGAAGAAUAAAGCAUCGGCUUCCCUGACAUGCUGCUCCCCCCAAAACAGACUGCCAAUAUGAUUCCAAGGUUCUUAGCACACUGUAUAUUACCUCACUCCUCCUACAGCUUGUUUGUAAGCUGACUUGUAUAUCUUUUUAUAGCUGAGAUUUUAUUCUGUGAUCUUACUAACUCAGAAAUUUUUUGGAGAUUCUUUGCAGUUUUCUAAGUAGAAUAACCA
rnacentral:lncRNA from 1 species